rnacentral:rRNA from 1 species
AACGUAGGACGCGAGCGUUAAUCGGAAUUACUGGGCGUAAAGCGCGUGUAGGUGGCGAUGUAAGUCGGGUGUGAAAUCCCUCAGCUUAACUGAGGAAGUGCACUCGAUACUGUGUCGCUUGAGUGUUGGAGGGGAUGGCGGAAUUCCCGGUGUAGAGGUGAAAUUCGUAGAUAUCGGGAGGAACACCUGUGGCGAAGGCGGCCAUCUGGACAACUACUGACACUGAGACGCGAAAGCGUGGGUAGCAAACAGG